UCCACUGGAGAUUAGAGACUCAGAGUUUGACAGCAGUUGCCAAAGGAGGUGCUGGUUUUUCAGCCUGUCCAUGAGGCCAUCUGGUCACCAGGAUAACAGAGAUCACACCCAGAGACCAAUCCAUGGGGUUUUGCUCCUUGUCCAUUCCACCUCCUAAGCAGCCAGGAGCCCAGACUGAUCCCCCUUUCCUGAAAACAUCACAAAAAGCAGCAGAUUUAUACUUCUGUAAAUGAGUGCAGACCUGAAGAUACAAAAGCACCAGAUUGUGGUAGAACAGCAAAGAACCUGUUGCUCUAAUAUUUGGAUAAUAUUUCACUCAUAUAUCUGCUUUUUCUAAUUUGAAUUACAGCAGUGCAACUCUCAGUGGUCUGUAUACAGCAAUUGCCUACAAAUAUUUUAAGGCCUUUCCCUGAGACAUCACUAAUGAAAUUCCACAUAAGACUGAAAUGUGUUUGUGGUUUAAACAUCUGAAUCAUGAAUUGAGUUGGGAUUUCAGUGAAGACUCCCUGGAAACAGGAAGACAAUGAGCUGAGACUCCAGUCCAGGUCUGAGUCAGAGGCAGGUUCAGAGACAUUCACCAAUAUUUUCCAAAGCACAGAUACCUAUGGCCUGCAUGAGAAACUGUGAGAGUGGUUAAAGGAACAGAUGUGUUCACUUUUUCAGCCUCAGCCCUCUGUGUUUCUGCAGGACAGGUACUGAAAAGAAGAAACAGAGACAAAAUUGAAGGAUGUUUCAAUAUAAAAUCAUCCCCCUGAGACUGAUCUUAGCAAGAGAGGGCAUCACCUGCAGCAGCUGAGUCCUGGUGAGGUAAUCAGCUCCCCUCCAGACUGUCAGGUCUGCCUGCAAGAAGAGAAGAAAGGGUGCUCUGCUGCUGUUCCUGUCAGGACUGCGAUCCAAGAGUCGCACGGAGGAGUUUUCUGUUUCAGAGGUGAACUCCCAUCACAGCAGCCUCUUGCUGGCCACAGAUGAAAACUGAAUUUGAGUGGGUUCAGGCAGUUCUGUGUGCAUCAUUUAUGUUGGUCAAAGUGGGAAAUAGGCACCAAAAGUCACACAAAUUUCUGGUGAUUCUGGAGACUUCUUUUCAAGAGCAGCUCUUGAAUGCUCUCUUUCAAAACACAGGAUUUUCAACAUAUGUAAUAUUUCUUUGGCCUAUAUUAUCAACUAUUCCAAUGAUAAAAACCAAGUUAUUUUAUAAAUAUAAUUUAUAUAUAUAUAAAUACAGAAUUAUUUUAUCUUAGCAGCAGGUUGAAUUCCCAUGGGAAGAUGCCAGCACAUACCCUGAGGAUGAGGAUAUCAGCAGUUAUGAGGUGAGGGACUUGGCAGAAGGUCUGAAAGGGACCAGUGACACAGGGGAAUUUCCAGUGGCUCAUUCUGUCCUCCUUCCCACAUAAAACCUGCACACCCAACAAUUCACACACCUUAAAAUAUUUUUACCUGAAAACAAGUCUUCUUUCACCAUCAGAUCAUGAAGAAUAUUAUUUAGUGAUUGAAUAUGGACAAUAAAUGUGAACAGAAUAAAGAAAUCUCAGUAUUCUUUCUGAAUAUUUUAAAAUACUUUUAAAAAUGCACUUUUUAUAAACUUAUAAGUAACUAAUUUAUCCAUGGCUCUGAGAACAU